ensembl:snoRNA
CUGCAGUGAUGAUUUUUAGAUGCAACUGACCUGGAAUUGCUGAUCUCCGGGUCGGCUCUGUCCAGGAAAUGAAUCUGGUUAAUCUUCUCUCUGAGCAG